GCCGGCUGAAUUUGUUUAACAUGUGCGUUCGUUUAGUUACAAACCCAAGGAAAUACGAGACAACUCACACUGUAAACGCCACAGAGGCAAUGUUGGGGCGCUCUCAGCGUAACAGCUCAAUGGAAAGACACACGGGAUGGAGAGAGAAAGAACAGCCGUCUCUGGAACAGCUGACUGUUUCAACAUUCAGCGAGAACGGCUACUAUGUUUUGCCCUUACUGUCGACAAGGUCUGGGAACAAUUCACAUGUUCUGUGGCUCAUGUGGCUCUAAUGUGCAAUUUUUGGCAGAGGCAGACAACAGGUCAGCAUCAGAUAUCCCCACAAAAGAGGAUCUAAUACAAAGAUCACAGCUACAGCAAUGCAGA